rnacentral:snRNA from 1 species
ACCUUUUCCACAGAAGACAAGC